rnacentral:rRNA from 1 species
AUGCUGCUGCACGGGCUGGUGGACCGGCUGACGGGGAAGAACAAGCAGGCGUGGAAGGAGGGCAAGAUCCGGGGCACGGCGGUGCUGGUCAAGAGCGACGUCCUCAACCUCGGCGACUUCCACGCCUCCCUCCUCGACGGCGUCCACGACAUCCUCGGCAAGGACGACGGCGUCAUCUUCCACCUCGUCAGCGCCACCGCCCCAGACCCCCAGAAUCCGAAGCGGGGCAAGGUGGGGAAGCCGGCGCACCUGGAGGAGAUGGUGGUGACGAUGAAGUCCAAGGCGGCCGGGGAGUCGGUGUUCAAGGUCACCUUCGAGUGGGACGACUCGCAGGGGAUCCCCGGCGCCGUCCUCGUCCGCAACACCUACCGCUCCGAGUACCUGCUCAAGACGCUCACCCUCCACGGCGUCCCCGGCAAGGGCACCGUCGUCUUCGUCGCCAACUCCUGGAUCUACCCCAACGUCGACCGCGUCUUCUUCGCCAACGACACCUAUCUGCCCAGCAAAAUGCCUGCACUUUUGGUGCAAUACAGGCAGGAUGAACUCAACAAUCUCCGAGGCGACGGCACGACCGGAAAGUACGAGGAGUGGGACCGUGUGUACCGCUAUGACUACUACAACGACCUCGGUGAGCCGGACAAGGGCCAUCCGCGCCCGGUUCUCGGCGGCACCCAAGAACUCCCCUAUCCCCGUCGUUGCAGAACUGGCCGACCCCCAACAAAAACAGACCCUAGAUCAGAGAGCAGAAUUCCUCAGUACAAGAUACAGGAGGCCCUGAACAUCUAUGUCCCGCGCGAUGAGCGCUUUGGCCACCUCAAGCUGUCUGACUUCCUUGGCUACUCUCUCAAGGCCAUCACCGAGGCCAUUCUUCCGAUAAUUAGGACCUACGUUGACACUACACCCAAGGAGUUUGAUUCGUUUCAAGACAUCUAUGAUCUCUACGACGGUCUUCUGAAAGUGCCAGAUAACCAACACCUAAAGGAGCUCAAGAAAAAAAUCCCCCUUCCGUUUAUUAAAAGUCUUUUACCAGUUGCUGGCGACGACCUCCUGAACCUGCCCCUUCCACAUGUUAUCAGAUCAAAUGAUUAUGCUUGGAGGUCAGAUGAGGAGUUUGCGCGGGAGAUGCUCGCAGGCGUGAACCCGGUUUGCAUCAAACGUCUGACGGAGUUCCCUGUAAAAAGCACCCUGGAUCCCAGUGUGUACGGGGACCAGUCAAGCACUAUCACCGAAGAUCAAAUUCAGCAGAACCUGGAAGAUGGCCUCACAGUGAAACAGGCAAUGGAGAAAAACAGGCUCUUCAUUCUAGAUCACCACGAUAACUUCAUGCCAUUCCUUGACCGCAUCAACAAGCUGGAAGGCAACUACAUCUACGCUUCGAGGACCCUGCUGUUCCUGAAGGCCGACGGCACGCUGAAGCCCUUGGCCAUCGAGCUGAGCCUGCCGCACCCCCAGGGGAUGCAGCACGGCGCGGAGAGCAAGGUGUACCUUCCGGCUGGUAUUGAGUCUGGUGUUGAUGGCCAGAUCUGGCAGCUUGCCAAGGCUUACGCCUCUGUUGACGACUCCGCAUGGCAUCAGCUUAUCAGCCACUGGCUGAACACGCACGCGGUGAUCGAGCCGUUCGUGAUUGCGACGAACCGGCAACUCAGUGUGGUGCACCCGGUGCACAAGCUGCUGAGCCCGCAUUACCGCGACACGUUGAACAUUAAUGCCCUGGCGCGAACCACUCUCAUCAACGCCGGUGGCGUCUUUGAGAUGACCGUCUUCCCGGAGAAAUAUGCGCUUGAGAUGUCUUCCAUCGUCUACAAGAACUGGAAGCUCACCGAGCAGGGCCUCCCCGACGAUCUUGUCAAGAGAGGCAUGGCUGUGCCGGAUUCAUCGAGCCCAUACGGUGUCCGGCUGCUGAUCAAGGACUACCCGUAUGCGGUGGACGGGCUGGUGAUCUGGUGGGCGAUCGAGCGGUGGGUGAACGAGUACCUGGCCAUCUACUACCCCAACGACGGCGUGCUCCGGGCCGACAAGGAGCUGGAGGAGUGGUGGAAGGAGGUGCGCGAGGUCGGGCAUGGCGACCUCAAGGACGCGGACUGGUGGCCCAGGAUGGUGACCGUGCAGGAGCUGGCCAAGACGUGCACCACCAUCAUCUGGGUGGCGUCGGCGCUACACGCGGCGGUCAACUUCGGGCAGUACCCGUACGCUGGGUACCUCCCGAACCGGCCGACUGUGAGCCGUCGGAAGAUGCCGGAGGAGGGCGAAGAGGAGUACAAGCAGCUGCAGAAGGGCGGGAAGGAGGCCGACAAGGUGUUCAUCCACACCAUCACCAGCCAGUUCCAGACCAUCCUGGGCAUCACGCUCAUCGAGAUCCUGUCCAAGCACUCCUCCGACGAGGUGUACCUGGGGCAGCGUGACACGCCGGAGUGGACGUCGGACGCCAAGGCCCUGGAGGCGUUCAAGAGGUUCGGCACCCGGCUGAUGGAGAUCGAGAAGCGGAUCCUGGACAUGAACAAGGACCCGGCGCUCAAGAACCGGAACGGGCCGGUGAAGAUGCCGUACAUGCUGCUGUACCCCAACACGUCGGAUGUCGACGGCGAGAAAGGGCUGGGGCUCACCGCCAUGGGCAUCCCCAACAGCGUCUCCAUCUGA